rnacentral:tRNA from 1 species
GGCCAGAUAGCCAAAUCCGGUAAGGCACUCGCCUGCAGAGCGAUCAUUUGGGGGUUCAAAUCCCUCUCUGGCCU